GGUGAAAAACACACCUCUUCCGGUCUGGGAAGCAACCGACGCACGCGACACAAACAAACCGGGCGGUUUGUUUUCUGAAUCUUAACGGUUAGAAACGGGGCUCGGAUGUGCCGUUAGCCGCUGGCCGGUCCUGUGUGGGCGGAGGAGCGGCGGUGAAGGAUGGUAAAGUGCGUCGUCUCCGGGUGUCCGAACCGGAAGGUGGACGUUAACCGGGGAGUCCUCAACCGACCCGCGAAGAGGUUCUUCAGCUUCCCCAAAGACCCGGCUCGGGUGAAAGUGUGGCUGGCAGCGCUGAGGGAGACGAACAAGCAGGACCCGACAGAGCAGCAGCUGAUCUGUGAGGACCACUUCCUGCCUGAAGACAUCUCGUCCGUUGGGGUCAGCACCGAUGCCAUUCCCCUCAUGCCCCCGUGCCUAGACGGGCACCUCGGCACCAUCAGCCUCUGGGGGGCCGAGGCGUCCGAGGAAGAGGAUCAGUGGGCCGACCGCGGCGGUGAUGGCGAUGAUGAUGAAGGUGGAGGCGAUGAGCUCCUUGCUGUGAAGCCUCCUGCAGUGGAUCCACUACAGCAGGACUCAGGUGCCCAGAAAACUCCAGGGUCUAAGACGACAAGUAAGAGUCUGCAUCAGAGGAAAAAGACGGUCCAGACCAGGAGGGCCAAACAGGACUGGUCCCUGGGGAUCCUGACGCAGCACUUCCUGCAGCUGCUGCUGGCGGCGCCGGACGGCCUGCUGGACCUCCGGCAGGUGAUGACCAAGCUGAAUAUCUGCAGGCAGCGAGUCUACGACGUCACCAACAUCCUGUGCGGCAUCAACGUCAUCAAGAAGCCGGCGCCCAGCAGGGUCAAGUGGAUAGGAAGUUGUCCAAUCAGCAGCUUCCUGUGGAAGAACCAGGAGAACCUGCGGAGGGAGGUGGAGAACAUGAAGCUGGUGGAGGACACGCUGGACACCCUGAUCAGGAGCUGCACCCUGCAGCUGUUGGCGCUGACCCAAGACCAGCAGAACUCUGAGAUGGCCUACGUGACCCACCAGGACGUCAGCCGCCUCGCAGCCUUGCAGGAGCAGACGGUGAUCGUGGUCAAAGCUCCAGAGGAAACUAAGCUGGAGAUUCUUGCACCCAAACAGCAUCCGGGUCCAUAUGAAGGGGGGGGUGGGUCCCAUUGCGGUGCUGACCUGUGAAGUUGCGACUGGAGAGAAGAGCGACUCUUUUGUAACUCUGGAGGAAAGCCGGAUUACGACCGCGGAGCUGCACACUGGGUCCUCGAGUCCACAGAGCGCCACCAACUGACCUCCAGCUGACCUCCAGCUGACCUCCAACUGACCUCCAGCUGACCUCCAACUGACCUCCAGCUGACCUCCAGGAAGCCCAGCGUUCAGCCAAACCUGGAAGAGUUACAGAAACAUUUUGUCUCCAGGUCUCAGAGGAACUGAAGUUUCCCUGCUGGUGAAACAGAGACUUGAACUGACUGAGCUCAUGUGUGAGUCUGGAAACAGCAUUGAGCUGAAACACAUUUAAUCUGAUCAGGGACCAAACAAACACGUUCCAACAUGAGGAGCAGUUUUUAAGGAGCAGUUUGUUUGUAUCAUAAUCAUGUACUUUACAUUUACUGUAUUAUAUUAUACUUUUGUAUUUUAUGAUUUAUUGUUUCUUUAUGUUUUGAAUAAAAAAUAUUUUCAUCUUGGUUUAAAAUUUCAAACUGACCCUCCAGUUUGUACUUUUGCUUUAACUGAGUCCUGGCCUCUGACCUUUGACCUGCUGUCAGGCAGACACAAAGAUAGGAGCAAAGAGGAAACAACUUCAGAAGAAUAAAAGUCUCAAGAAACAGGGAAAAAAUAAUUAAUUCAGCCAUAAAUUAUAAGAAAAACUGACAAAAUAUCAACACAAUACAAUAUAUUUAAAGUGAAUGGGUGAAAUCAAAGGUCUCAGUUUGAACUGUGGGACUAUUUUUUAAUGACAGUUACUAAAACACCCAACAUCCAAUUCAACACCUUUCUCACUGUUCUGUUUAAGUAGUUGGCAACACGAUACAGUAGUAACAUUGAAGGAGUGAAAGUUGAUCAGUGGGAGUUUAUUUCUGGUCUCAGGUGUUUCACAGCGCAGGAUUAAAAAAAUGGUCUGAUGCCUUUACAGCAGCACCACCCAGUGGACACACUGCGUCAUGACAAACUGCAGAGCCACAGUUUCAAGGCAGCAUUCAGAGCUUAAUGCACAACACAGAACAGAGGGUUAACAGGAAAUGAUACCUGAUUGUCUCUUGGUGUGUGUCAGUGCUCAGGUACUGGUUCCCAUGGGUGACACCACAACCUCCAAACUUAAAGCUGAACCCUGUUCCCAAAUCCUCCCACAGUCUCUCCUCCAUCAAACUGUCAGAACAGCAGCUCUGUGGAGGAACCACCUCGUUGAUGAGAGAGGUCAAAGGGUCAGAGGAGAAUGGGCAGACUGGUUGGAGCUGAGAAAAAGGCUAUGGUCACUCAGAUAACCACUCUUUACUCUUUUAAGAGUGGUGAACAGAAAAGCUUCAGAGCUUACCACAUGUAUAACCUUGAGGUGGAUGGACUACUACAGCAGAAGACCACGUCAGGGUCCACUUCCUGUCAGUGAGAAUGAGAAUCUGAGGCUGCAGUGCUGCUACUACCUUGUCACGGAAGUCAUAUAGACACCCAUGACUAUCGUAGUAUAGUAAGGCAUGAAAACAUCAUAGUAUAACAUGUCAUGAAUAACUUAAUAGUAUAAUAUGUCAUAAAAUCAUGCAGUCUUCUGGCUCUGCCAUGGCCUCCAGGAUUGUUUUGUCCAUUGUGUGUUGCUUCUGCUCCGUUUCCCUUCAGGUCCUGGUAGGUGGAGUUGGCGUUGAUGCAACGGGGGUCCAAACCAGAAUGAAUUUAAGUCCAUCCAUCCCCAUUGUCUCUCACUCACUCAAUCACUGGAUCUCCCCCUUACACCACAUUGUUUCUUUUGUUUGUUUUGCUUUGGUUGUACUUUUAAUUUGUAUCAUUUAACACAACAGUUUCACACAUUCACUCACCAACAUUACUGACCAACUGACUAGCCAUUUCAUACGUUUGAUUGAUAUGUUUGGCUUUCUUUUAUGUAAAUAAACAUGAUUGAUUCUUU